rnacentral:rRNA from 2 species
UGGCGGCCGCGGGANNUCNAUUUUGAAAGGGAAACGAUUGAAGUCAGUCGUACCUGCGGGUAAUCAGCCUUUUGGGCAUGAUUCUGUGGAGCGUGAGGAGUUAAACGCCUUCAUGCCUGCAUAUUCGUGUACUUUGGGUGUACUUGCCUGUGUGGUUAGUUAACAUCAAUUUUGGUUAUCAUAAAAUGGUUGGAGGAAUGUAGCUUCGAUUUCGAUUGAAGUGUUAUAGCCUUCGGCAGAUGUGAUGAUCGGGAUUGAGGAUUGCAACGGAUACCCUUCGGGGCUACCUGUCUGAUCUCUGGUCGUUGCUCUGGUGCCGAAAGCGUGCUUACGGUUAUCAAAGUCGAUGGUCAAUAGGUUAGAACGGGUUAAAUUCGUUAAGGAUGUUGACGUA